rnacentral:rRNA from 1 species
AUUGAACGCUGGCGGCAUGCCUUACACAUGCAAGUCGAACGGCAGCACGGGAGCUUGCUCCUGGUGGCGAGUGGCGAACGGGUGAGUAAUACAUCGGAACGUACCCUGAAGUGGGGGAUAACGUAGCGAAAGUUACGCUAAUGCCGCAUAUUCUGUGAGCAGGAAGAGGGGGAUCGCAAGACCUCUUGCUUUAGGAGCGGCCGAUGUCGGAUUAGCUAGUUGGUGAGGUAAAGGCUCACCCAAGGCGACGAUCCGUAGCGGGUCUGAGAGGAUGAUCCGCCACACUGGGACUGAGACACGGCCCAGACUCCUACGGGAGGCAGCAGUGGGGAAUUUUGGACAAUGGGCGCAAGCCUGAUCCAGCCAUGCCGCGUGAGUGAGAAGGCCUCGGUUGUAAG